rnacentral:lncRNA from 1 species
UAUUAUUUAUUUUACUAUAUAUUUUUUAAAUAGAUGUUUAAUGUAUUUUUUAGUUUUCUUAUAGUGUAUAUAUACUUAUUAUUUAUUUUUUCUUAUAUUAUGCAUUUACUUAUCUAAUAUUAUGAUAGAUGUUUAAUAUAAUAUUUCUAUAUCUUAUAUUGUAUAUUUACUUAUUAUUUAUUUUACUAUACAUUUUUCAGAGAGAUUGUUUUUAGUUUUUUCAUUUCUUAAUUGUAUAUGUACUUAUUGUUUAUUUUUUCUUAUGUUGUAUAUUUAUUUAUUAUAAUUGUUUUUCUUUUAUAUGAAAUUGUAAUAUUAUGAUAGAUGUUUAAUGUAAUAUUUAUUUUUCUUAUAUUGUAUAUUUAUUUUUUGUUUAUUUUAUUAUACAUUUUUGAUAGAUGUUUAAUGUAUUUUUUAUAUUUCAUAUAUUAUAUAUUUACUUAUUAUUUUUAUAUAUUAACUUAUUCUAAUAUUAUAAUAGAUGCUUAAUUUAAUAUUUUUUAUUUCUUAUACUGUAUAUUUACUUAUUAUUUAUUUUAAUAUACAUCGUACAUAUAUAUUUUAAUUUAAUUGUUCUAUUUCUUAUAUUGUAUAUUUUCU